rnacentral:rRNA from 1 species
ACGUAGGGGGCAAGCGUUAUCCGGAUUUACUGGGUGUAAAGGGUGCGCAGGCGGAUGAGUAAGUCAGAGGUGAAAGCCUGUGGCUCAACUACAGAACUGCCUCUGAUACUGCAUAUCUUGAGUUCGGAAGAGAGAAGCGGAAUUCCAGGUGUAGUAGUGAAAUACGUAGAUAUCUGGAAGAACACCAGUGGCGAAGGCGGCUUAUUGGUCCGUAACUGACGCUGAGGCGCGAAAGCGUGGGGAGCAAACAG